GGGUUGUGAGGUUAAGCGACUAAGCGUACACGGUGGAUGCCUAGGCAAUCAGAGGCGAUGAAGGACGUGCUAAUCUGCGAUAAGCGUCGGUAAGGUGAUAUGAACCGUUAUACCCGACGAUUUCCGAAUGGGGAAACCCAGUGCAAUUCGUUGCACUAUCGUUUGAUGAAUACAUAGUCAAACGAAGCGAACCGGGGGAACUGAAACAUCUCAGUACCCCGAGGAAAAGAAAUCAACCGAGAUUCCCCUAGUAGCGGCGAGCGAACGGGGAGCAGCCCAGAGUCUUAAUCAGCAUUAGUAUCAGGAGAACGGUCUGGAAAGUCCGGCAGUAAAGGGUGAUAGCCCCGUAUCUGAAGAUAUUAGUGUUGUGAACUCGACGAGUAGGGCGGGACACGUGUUAUCCUGUCUGAAUAUGGGGGGACCAUCCUCCAAGGCUAAAUACUCCUGAUUGACCGAUAGUGAACCAGUACCGUGAGGGAAAGGCGAAAAGAACCCCGGCGAGGGGAGUGAAAUAGAACCUGAAACCGUGUACGUACAAGCAGUGGGAGCCUUGAUUUAUCAGGGUGACUGCGUACCUUUUGUAUAAUGGGUCAGCGACUUAUAUUCUGUAGCAAGGUUAACCGUAUAGGGGAGCCGUAGGGAAACCGAGUCUUAACUGGGCGAAUGAGUUGCAGGGUAUAGACCCGAAACCCGGUGAUCUAGCCAUGGGCAGGUUGAAGGUUGGGUAACACUAACUGGAGGACCGAACCGACUAAUGUUGAAAAAUUAGCGGAUGACUUGUGGCUGGGGGUGAAAGGCCAAUCAAACCGGGAGAUAGCUGGUUCUCCCCGAAAGCUAUUUAGGUAGCGCCUCGUGAACUCAUCUUCGGGGGUAGAGCACUGUUUCGACUAGGGGGUCAUCCCGACUUACCAACUCGAUGCAAACUACGAAUACCGAAGAAUGUUAUCACGGGAGACACACGGCGGGUGCUAACGUUCGUCGUGAAGAGGGAAACAACCCAGACCGCCAGCUAAGGUCCCAAAGUCAUAGUUAAGUGGGAAACGAAGUGGGAAGGCUCAGACAGCCAGGAUGUUGGCUUAGAAGCAGCCAUCAUUUAAAGAAAGCGUAAUAGCUCACUGGUCGAGUCGGCCUGCGCGGAAGAUGUAACGGGGCUAAACUAUGCACCGAAGCUGCGGCAGCGAUAUGUAAAUAUUGUUGGGUAGGGGAGCGUUCUGUAAGCCUGUGAAGGUGUACUGUGAGGUAUGCUGGAGGUAUCAGAAGUGCGAAUGCUGACAUAAGUAACGAUAAUGCGGGUGAAAAACCCGCACGCCGGAAGACCAAGGGUUCCUGUCCAACGUUAAUCGGGGCAGGGUGAGUCGACCCCUAAGGCGAGGCAGAAAUGCGUAGUCGAUGGGAAACGGGUUAAUAUUCCCGUACUGGUGAUAAUUGCGAUGGGGGGACGGAGAAGGCUAGGCUGGCCGGGCGACGGUUGUCCCGGUUUAAGGAUGUAGGCAGGUGAAUUAGGCAAAUCCGGUUCACUAUAUGCUGAGGUCUGAUGACGAGUCACUACGGUGGCGAAGUAGCUCAUGCCCCGCUUCCAGGAAAAGCCUCUAAGCUCUAGAUUAUCAUUAAUCGUACCCCAAACCGACACAGGUGGUCAGGUAGAGAAUACUCAGGCGCUUGAGAGAACUCGGGUGAAGGAACUAGGCAAAAUGGUGCCGUAACUUCGGGAGAAGGCACGCUGGCGUUAGGUGAAGUGGUUUACCCAUGGAGCUGAAGCCAGUCGCAGAUACCAGCUGGCUGCAACUGUUUAUUAAAAACACAGCACUGUGCAAACACGAAAGUGGACGUAUACGGUGUGACGCCUGCCCGGUGCUGGAAGGUUAAUUGAUGGGGUUAUCCGUAAGGAGAAGCUCUUGAUCGAAGCCCCAGUAAACGGCGGCCGUAACUAUAACGGUCCUAAGGUAGCGAAAUUCCUUGUCGGGUAAGUUCCGACCUGCACGAAUGGCGUAAUGAUGGCCAGGCUGUCUCCACCCGAGACUCAGUGAAAUUGAACUCGCUGUGAAGAUGCAGUGUACCCGCGGCAAGACGGAAAGACCCCGUGAACCUUUACUAUAGCUUGACACUGAACAUUGAGCCUUGAUGUGUAGGAUAGGUGGGAGGCUUUGAAGUGUGGACGCUAGUCUGCAUGGAGCCAACCUUGAAAUACCACCCUUUAAUGUUUGAUGUUCUAACGUUGCCCCGUUAUCCGGGGUGCGGACAGUGUCUGGUGGGUAGUUUGACUGGGGCGGUCUCCUCCCAAAGAGUAACGGAGGAGCACGAAGGUUGGCUAAGCAUGGUCGGACAUCAUGCGGUUAGUGCAAAGGCAUAAGCCAGCUUGACUGCGAGAGUGACGGCUCGAGCAGGUACGAAAGUAGGUCUUAGUGAUCCGGUGGUUCUGAAUGGAAGGGCCAUCGCUCAACGGAUAAAAGGUACUCCGGGGAUAACAGGCUGAUACCGCCCAAGAGUUCAUAUCGACGGCGGUGUUUGGCACCUCGAUGUCGGCUCAUCACAUCCUGGGGCUGAAGUAGGUCCCAAGGGUACGGCUGUUCGCCGUUUAAAGUGGUACGCGAGCUGGGUUUAGAACGUCGUGAGACAGUUCGGUCCCUAUCUGCCGUGGGCGUUGGAAGAUUGAAAGGGGCUGCUCCUAGUACGAGAGGACCGGAGUGGACGCACCACUGGUGUUCGGGUUGUCAUGCCAAUGGCAUUGCCCGGUAGCUAAGUGCGGAAGAGAUAACCGCUGAAAGCAUCUAAGCGGGAAACUUGCCUUGAGAUGAGUCUUCCCUGACCCUUUAAGGGUCCUAAAGGAACGUUUAAGACUAAGACGUUGAUAGGUUGGGUGUGUAAGCAUAGCGAUAUGUUGAGCUAACCAAUACUAAUGAACCGUGAGGCUUAACCUGACAACACCGAAGGUGUUUUAG
rnacentral:rRNA from 1 species